UACGUAGGGCGCAAGCGUUGUCCGGAAUUAUUGGGCGUAAAGAGCUCGUAGGCGGUUUGUCGCGUCUGCUGUGAAAACCUAAGGCUCAACCUUGGGCUUGCAGUGGGUACGGGCAGACUAGAGUGCGGUAGGGGCGACUGGAAUUCCUGGUGUAGCGGUGGAAUGCGCAGAUAUCAGGAGGAACACCGAUGGCGAAGGCAGGUCACUGGGCCGCAACUGACGCUGAGGAGCGAAAGCGUGGGGAGCAAACAGG
rnacentral:rRNA from 1 species